ACGAAAAAUAACGAUACGGGACUCAUCCGAGGCCCCGUAAUCGGAAUGAGUACACUCUAAACCCUUUAACGAGGAUCAAUUGGAGGGCAAGUCUGGUGCCAGCAGCCGCGGUAACACCAGCUCCAAUAGCGUAUAUUAAAGUUGUUGCGGUUAAAAAGCUCGUAGUCGAAUUUGUGUCCCGCGCCGCCGGUUCAUCGCUCGCGGUGUUAACUGGCGUGUCCGCGGGACGUCCUGCCGGUGGGCUUAGCUCUCGGGCGGCCCAAUCUCAAUCCCACCGCGGUGCUCUUUACUGAGUGUCGAGGUGGGCCGGCACGUUUACUUUGAACAAAUUAGAGUGCUUAAAGCAGGCUAAAAAAUCGCCUGAAUACUGUGUGCAUGGAAUAAUGGAAUAGGACCUCGGUUCUAUUUUGUUGGUUUUCGGAACCCCGAGGUAAUGAUUAAUAGGAACGGAUGGGGGCAUUCGUAUUGCGACGUUAGAGGUGAAAUUCUUGGAUCGUCGCAAGACGGACAGAAGCGAAAGCAUUUGCCAAAAACGUUUUCAUUGAUCAAGAACGAAAGUUAGAGGUUCGAAGGCGAUCAGAUACCGCCCUAGUUCUAACCAUAAACGAUGCCAGCUAGCGAUCCGCCGACGUUCCUCCGAUGACUCGGCGGGCAGCUUCCGGGAAACCAAAGCUUUUGGGAUCCGGGGGAAGUAUGGUUGCAAAGCUGAAACUUAAAGGAAUUGACGGAAGGGCACCACCAGGAGUGGAGCCUGCGGCUUAAUUUGACUCAACACGGGAAACCUCACCAGGCCCGGACACCGGAAGGAUUGACAGAUUGAGAGC
rnacentral:rRNA from 1 species